CAAACUGUUGUCAGUCUUCCUCGGUGAUUUGAAGUGAAAAGGUAAAUAAAAGUGAGUUUCAGUGAUAAAUAAUGGCGUCUUUGGAACCGCUCCAAAAUAAAACAUGGGAUUUGUCUUUGUACGAGCUGAAUCGUACCCCACAGGAAGCAAUUACCGACAAUACGGAGAUUGCCGUAUCCCCUCGCAGUUUGCACAGUGAGCUGAUGUGUCCGAUUUGCUUAGAUAUGCUGAAGAAAACAAUGACAACGAAAGAAUGUUUGCAUCGAUUUUGUUCGGACUGCAUAAUUACUGCGCUUCGGUCCGGGAACAAGGAAUGUCCCACUUGUAGAAAGAAGCUGGUUUCUAAACGUUCGCUGCGACCGGAUCCAAAUUUUGAUUUGCUGAUAUCAAAAAUAUACCCGAGCAGAGAUGAGUAUGAGGCACACCAGGAGAGGGUGCUGGCCAAAUUUAAUCAAAGUCAUUCCCAGCAAGCUCUUGUUCAUUCAAUAAAUGAAGGAAUUAAGCUGCAGUACCAGAACAGGCCAAACCGUAAGCAAAAAAGUGAGAAUGACUUAUCGGCCGCAGCAGCAGCAGCCACAAAUGCUUCCGUCGCCGCACCCACAGCUGCUGCUCCGAACGUAACUCAAUCUACCGUUCCCAGUACGAAUGGAAAUAUUCCGGACGCUUCGAUAAACCGAGAAGGCUCAUCCAACAGUCAGGCUGGUGCCGAGUCCGUUCCUCCUUCGUCGAAUCCUCCAUCGGUGCGGAGCACACCCUCGCCCGUACCUUCGAACGUCAGCUCGGCGAGCAAGGCCAAGCGGGCCCGAUCGGUUCUAACGUCGGAGAAAUCCGAAGAAUCGGAAAGCAACAGUGAAAUGGAUGGGAGAACGGAGGAAAACGAUUCCAAUUUAGACACCGAAGGCGAGGGCAACUCCGAGCACGGUAGCGACGAAAUUGAGCUCGUGUUCAAGCCGCACCCGACGGAGAUGGCUGGGGAUAAUCCGCUGCUGAAGGCACUGAAGGAGAAUUCGGUUCGGUACAUAAAGACCACUUCGAAUGCUACGGGUUUGUUUUUUUUACAGAUAGAUAAUGAGAGUGCUUUGCUAAUCACUGCUGGUAGAUAUAAGUUGCUAUCUCAGCAGUAUAAUUUGAUACUGUGGAUCAUCUCAGCAAGUACCUGGCUAUGCGUCUCACCUUGGAUUUGGAAACCGAACUUCCAGAGGCUUACCGAUUGGUCAAUUUCUGCAUAUACAUAGCUCCGCAGCCAUCGCAGCUAGUUGUGCUCAGUGGAAACCAAACACUGUCACAGGUUAACGAGAAGUUCUGGAAGGUCAACAAGCCCCUGGAGAUGUACUACUCUUGGAAAAAAUCCUAGGGAAGCGCCUAACAUCCGAAACGGAAGGAGUGAUAGUGGAAAAAAAACUUGCAAUCGUAGGAGCGGUUCAGUAUUAUUCGCUGCUUUGCAUGAUGGGCAGUGUAUCGUUGCAGCGCAUGGAAUUACAACACACAUGGAUAUAGUUUAAUAAUAUCGAAGACAAUAUUGAUAUAUUGUAAAUAGUACAGUUGAAAAGGCUUUUAUUGAGCGUUUUUUAAUGUAGUGCAUUUUCGAAUCUAAUGUAUGUUCUCAAUUUGACAAUUUUCCAAGGAAUAAUUCGCAUGUUAUUUAAUAUACAUGGUGUUUUAACGUAGUUUUGAACUCAAAUAUACCACUAUAGUUCACAGCAGAGAUGCAUUUAACUACAAGAGAUUUUGGAACAUAGCAAACACAAAAUACUGCAUAACACACUGGGGUUGCUUUUUACGCGGAUAGAUUUGGUCAAUUUCUCGGUCAAUCUCGAUUUCCGCAUCAUUUUAAAUACCAUUCGAUUUUUCUUCGAUUUUUUCGUGGGGUCAACUCAUUUAUUUGAUGAAUCCUAAAGCCAGAAAUGGCCAAAUACAAACAGCGCAAAAAGCGACCCCAAUUAACAGUUUGAACGCAAAAAAUAUAAACCCGAGCAAGGUCGAAUGGGUUUAACUAGUUUUAAAUGUAAAUAAAAUGUGUAAACUUUGACAUUAAGAUACUUUCUAUCAAGUGAAAUAAUUUAGUCUCAAUAGGCUAUUAAAAGAAAAAGUUUGGUGUAGCUUUUUGAUUUCUUGUGACUGAUUACAUUUUGCUUAUUAAAGAAACACUUGUUCAGCAACGUAUACAAAGCAAUCAUAAAAGCACACCACACAUGCUCUUGAGUCUUGACUAUUGUUCUAUUCAUAAUGCAUCUCUGUGGUUUCAUUUUUAAUUACAGCUACUGAAUUCUAGAGGGUGAAUUUGAUUGGUAUUUAAAAUGACUAUAUUUUUCUCUGAGAAUUAUGUUAAGUAAGGUCACUUACCAAUCAACUUAAUGCAAUUGAAUCUCGUGCUCAAUGAUUUGUGGUGAUAAAUUUUCUUUAUCAUUUUUUGUUCAGCAACAUUUUGAAAAGCCGCUUGAGGUGGAACGAAAUGUAGCUGAAAUCAUAGUGGAAGGAAACUAGUAUGGCUUUUACUAGUUACCGUAAUAACAUAAAUCAUACGAAUGUAAAACAAAUUUGUCAUUAAUAUGGGCAGUAAAAUGCAUUACAAACAUACAAAAUAGAUUGGUAGGUAUUUAUUUCUCCAAUACCACAAAACUUUUUUUUGCCUCUUAUAAACAUGUUCUUCAAACGCCACUUCUUAAUCAAAAUAACGCAUUCCACUAUUUCUACGUUUUCCUUGCCCUUUGUGAACUAGUUUUAUUACAAGAUCUACCUACUAAUUGGUUUGCUAUAUGUUUAUAAUCCAAUAAACUGCCGUUCUACGCAUAAAUGUCCCAUGUACAUAGGAAAUCCCAGCAAACAUGGGACAUAUAUGCGUGUGACGGCAGUAAAGCAGUGAUUAUAUAAAGAAAUAGUUUUGAGUUAAUUUGUUCAAUAUACAACAGCCGUAUAAGCUGCAACGAUACAGUGUAUAAUGCUCAUAAACAUAAGUUUAUAUUUCACUUCUCUCGAUGUAGAAUAUUGGUGUGUACUAAUAAACUAGAAUAUACUAUACUAUAAUUCUAA